AUUGCUUCUUGGCCUUCUGGCUAAAAUCAAAUGUAGCCUCUGUUCUUAUCAGUUUAAUAUCUGAUACAAAGCCGUCUUCCAGGGAUUUCUGCACUGUUAUCCUGGGAAGUCUUAUCAUUU
ensembl:snRNA U2 U2 spliceosomal RNA